CUUAAGAGCCUACCAUAUGCCAGGCACUGUACGAGCGCACGAAUGAAACAAACAGGCCCCUGUCCUCAAGGUGCUUACAAUCUAAUGAAACACCCCCCCCCCCCCCCCCCCUACACUUGUUCACUUUGGUUCCCUGCAACCCAGCGCCCUCUGCUGGGCAAGUUCUUCUCCCAUCACCCCCGGGGCCUAGAUCCCUUUCCCAGCUCCGUUCCUUUUCUUUCUGGUGGAGUGAGGGAGACUGGGUAAGUGCCCUAUCUGCUUAGUUCAGUUCAGUUCAGUUGGUUGUUUAUUAAACAUGGCUGAGUGGCUAGUAGAUAGACGAGUGUACCUGGAGAUAGGAAGUCCCGAGUUCAAAUUCCUCCGAAGAAGCUUCCUAGUCAAGUGCAUCACUUCACUUCUGGCUGCCCCAGUUUCCUCAUCUAUAACAUGGGAAUAAUAGCUGCUACUUAAGAAGUUCUUGUGAGGAUCAAAUGAGGUAACACAUGUCAAGCACUUUGCCAACCACAAGAGUUGUAUAAACGCUAGCAGCUAUGUGCAAAGCACCCAAUAUCACUGGCACUGGGGUCCCAACAGCCUUUCUUUCCUUUCUGCCAGGAUUUUUGCAUAGAUUCUAUAAAGAGCAUGGCAGAAGGGGAUCAUGCCGGAAGCCAAGAAAGGGUGAAGUUUUUCAAACUUGUGACCCUCUCUGAAUUGACUGAAAUAGAAAAACCACGAAGAAAGGCUCUCAAAGCAUGGUUCAUGCUUGUGUGGCCUAGCUUCAAGAUAGGGUGGUUUCACCUACUCCAGGAUUAUCUGUCUUGGGCUGCAUAUCCACUGUUACUUACUGAAGGAUAAUUUAAUGGACAGAGCACUGAAUUUGAAUUCCUGACUUGUCAUUUGCUACUUAUGUGAUCUGCAGCUAGAAAUGGCCUAUGCUCUGGAACCAAACCUGCAAUAUCUCUGAGAAAGAAGAAAAGAACCUUGUAACAAAUAAGUAUACUCAAGUGGAAGAAAUCUACAGAGUGCUUCUGUCUAAAAAUAUGUCUAUUUCUUCACCUUCAGUCCAUCAUGUCUCUGUCAGGAGUAUACAAAAUGCAUGAUGGAGGGGCCCUUUCUCGCCCUGCUUCAGAGUUUGUGUAGAUGUCGUCUAUUCCUUGCCAGUUUACUACAUGGUGAGUACAAACUUUUUAAUUGGCUGCUGAGCUGGAACCGAGUUCAUGAAAAAAUGUGUGAAGAAAUGAACUCUGUUUUCUCUUCCCUAGCAGCAAGUGAAGCAUGAACUGCUUCGAGCAUCCUGGGGGGAUCUCCUUCCCCAGCUUGGUUGCCGUGUGGCCGUGAACACACAGCCCUGCUGUUUUUCUGUCUCUGGUGUAUUGAUUCUUUCCUGAGCUUAGGUGAAUGAGCACCAGAGACAGAGCAGGCCAGGCUUCAGAAUGUUGGGAGAGCCAGCAGAGGCCCAGCAACUGGAGUCUACAACAGAGUUUACCAGUUGUCACAGCAGCUGAGUCCAGUGAGAAGCCAGACCUGGUGAAUGACCUGCUGGAUCCAGCCUUGCAGUCAAGAUACCAUGUUCUACAAGCAAGAGAACAACAAUGUGUCCAUUGCCUGUGCCCUAGCCAGAACUGCACUUGGUGGAAUGUUUUAUAGUAACCACCAUUUUAAGUUUGAGUUCCCUUCUUGUUGUUCAAGUCAUUUCAGCUGUGUCCUACUCUUCAUAACCCUAUUUGGUGUU